AGCGAACGCUGGCGGCAGGCUUAACACAUGCAAGUCGAGCGGGCGUAGCAAUGCGUCAGCGGCAGACGGGUGAGUAACGCGUGGGAACGUACCUUUUGGUUCGGAACAACACAGGGAAACUUGUGCUAAUACCGGAUAAGCCCUUACGGGGAAAGAUUUAUCGCCGAAAGAUCGGCCCGCGUCUGAUUAGCUAGUUGGUAGGGUAAUGGCCUACCAAGGCGACGAUCAGUAGCUGGUCUGAGAGGAUGAUCAGCCACAUUGGGACUGAGACACGGCCCAAACUCCUACGGGAGGCAGCAGUGGGGAAUAUUGGACAAUGGGGGCAACCCUGAUCCAGCCAUGCCGCGUGAGUGAUGAAGGCCCUAGGGUUGUCAAGCUCUUUUGUGCGGGAAGAUAAUGACGGUACCGCAAGAAUAAGCCCCGGCUAACUUCGUGC
rnacentral:rRNA from 2 species